rnacentral:rRNA from 1 species
GAUGAACGCUGGCGGCGUGCCUAAUACAUGCAAGUCGAGCGAACAGACGAGGAGCUUGCUCCUCUGACGUUAGCGGCGGACGGGUGAGUAACACGUGGAUAACCUACCUAUAAUACUGGGAUAACUUCGGGAAACCGGAGCUAAUACCGGAUAAUAUAUUGAACCGCAUGGUUCAAUAGUGAAAGACGGUUUUGCUUUCACUUAUAGAUGGAUCCGCUCCGCAUUAGCUAGUUGGUAAGGUAACGGCUUACCAAGGCGACGAUGCGUAGCAGACCUGAGAGGGUGAUCGGCCACACUGGAACUGAGACACGGUCCAGAGUCCUACGGGAGGCAGCAGUAGGAAAUCUUCCGCAAUGGGAGAAAGCAUGACGGAGCAACACCGCGUGAGUGAUGAAGGUCUUAGGAUCGUAAAACUCUGUAAUUAGGGAAGAAAAAAUGUGUAAGUAACUAUGCAAGUAUUGACGGUACCUAAUAAGAAAGCCACGGCUAAAUACGUG